CUGCUGCCUUCCGUAGGAGUUUGGGCCGUGUCUCAGUCCCAAUGUGGCCGGUCACCCUCUCAGGUCGGCUACUGAUCGUCGCCUUGGUGGGCUGUUAUCUCACCAACUAGCUAAUCAGAUGCGGGCCCAUCUUUUACCGAAUAAAUCCCUUCUUUCCUAGAAGAUGCCUUCCAAGAACCGUAUGCGGUAUUAGUCACCGUUUCCAGUGAUUAUUCCCCAGUAAAGGCAGGUUACCCACACGUUACUCACCCGUCCGCCGCUAAAAUAA
rnacentral:rRNA from 1 species